GAUGAACGCUGGCGGCGUGCUUAACACAUGCAAGUCGAACGGUGAAGGCGGAGCUUGCUCUGCUGGAUCAGUGGCGAGCGGGUGAGUAACACGUGAGCAAUCUGCCCCUGACUCUGGGAUAAGCGCUGGAAACGGCGUCUAAUACUGGAUACGAGCUGCGAAGGCAUCUUCAGCAGCUGGAAAGAAUUUCGGUCAGGGAUGAGCUCGCGGCCUAUCAGCUUGUUGGUGAGGUAAUGGCUCACCAAGGCGUCGACGGGUAGCCGGCCUGAGAGGGUGACCGGCCACACUGGGACUGAGACACGGCCCAGACUCCUACGGGAGGCAGCAGUGGGGAAUAUUGCACAAUGGGCGAAAGCCUGAUGCAGCAACGCCGCGUGAGGGACGACGGCCUUCGGGUUGUAAACCUCUUUUAGCAGGGAAGAAGCGAAAGUGACGGUACCUGCAGAAAAAGCGCCGGCUAACUACGUG
rnacentral:rRNA from 1 species